AUUGAACGCUAGCGGCAUGCCUAACACAUGCAAGUCGAACGAGUGGCGGACGGGUGAGUAAUGUAUGGGAAACUGCCUGCAGGAGGGGGAGAACUCCUGGAAACGGUAGCUAAUACCGCAUACCCUCCUAUGUCCGCCGAUGGGAGUAGCUAGUGGGUGGGGUAACGGCUCACCAAGGCGACGAUCCCGAGCUGGUUUGAGAGGAUGACCAGCCACACUGGAACUGAGACACGGCCCAGACUCCUACGGGAGGCAGCAGUGGGGAAUAUUGCACAAUGGGCGAAAGCCUGAUGCAGCCAUGCCGCGUGUAUGAAGAAGGCCUUCGGGUUGUAAAGUACUUUUGGCGGGGAGGCGGUACCUGCAGAAGAAGCACCGGCUAACUCCGUGCCAGCCGCCGCGGUAAUAC
rnacentral:rRNA from 1 species